UCCUACGGGAGGCAGCAGUAGGGAAUCCUCCACAAUGGGCGAAAGCCUGAUGGAGCAACGCCGCGUGAGUGAAGAAGGUUUUCGGAUCGUAAAACUCUGUUGUAAGGGAAGAACAAGUACAGUAGUAACUGGCUGUACCUUGACGGUACCUUAUUAGAAAGCCACGGCUAACUACGUGCCAGCACCCGCGGUAAUA
rnacentral:rRNA from 1 species